rnacentral:tRNA from 1 species
AGCACAGUAGCUUAAACUAAAGCUUUGGACUUUUAAUCCAAAAGAUGGAAAAACCUUGUGCUA